CCAACGUGGAUAACUGUGGUAAUUCUAGAGCUAAUACAUGCACCAAAGCUCCGACUUUUUGACGAGCGCAUCUAUUAGAUUAAAACCAAUCGGGCCUUUGGUCCGUCAAUUGGUGACUCUGAAUAGCUAUGGCUGAUCGCAUGGUCACGUACCGGCGACGUAUCUAUCAAGUGUCUGCCUUAUCAACUUUCGAUGGUAGUUUAUGUGCCUACCAUGGUUGUAACGGGUAACGGAGAAUAAGGGUUCGACUCCGGAGAGGGAGCCUGAGAAACGGCUACCACAUCCAAGGAAGGCAGCAGGCGCGCAAAUUACCCACUCUCGGCAUGAGGAGGUAGUGACGAAAAAUAACGAGACCGUUCUCUUUGAGGCCGGUUAUCGGAAUGGGUACAAUUUAAACCCGUUAACGAGGAACUAUGAGAGGGCAAGUCUGGUGCCAGCAGCCGCGGUAAUUCCAGCUCUCAAAGUGUAUAUCGUCAUUGCUGCGGUUAAAAAGCUCGUAGUUGGAUCUGCGCCUCAGGACCCGGUCCGCCCAUUGGACGAGAACUGGGCUCCUGGGCUAGUACUGCCGGUUUUCCCUGCGUUACCUUUACCGGUUGCGUAGGGUGGCCAGCGAGUUUACCUUGAAAAAAUUAGAGUGCUCAAUGCGGGCUAAUGCCUGAAUACUCGUGCAUGGAAUAAUGAAAUAGGAUCUCGGUUCUAUUUUGUUGGUUUUCUGAUCUGAGAUAAUGGUUAAGAGGGACGGACGGGGGCAUUCGUAUCGCUGCGUGAGAGGUGAAAUUCUUGGACCGUAGCGAGACGCCCGACUGCGAAAGCAUUUGCCAAGAAUGUCU
rnacentral:rRNA from 1 species